rnacentral:lncRNA from 1 species
UGUAUUACUUUGCUUUCAAGGUGUUUACAUAUAUGGAUCUCAAUGGAGGUACGUCGUGGACUAUUUGGCUUGAAGAAGUAACUGACCAAGAGCUGCAGCUUGCAGCUUCCAGCAGAUAGAGCCACGAACAUUGGCUGGCUUCCUCGAGAAGCCGAUGCAGGAAGGAGAAGGACCAGUCAAGCCGUCUGUGAGGAUGGCCGGCUGGUUCCGAGCAUGACAAAUGACGAGCGGUCAGAUAGAUAGCAUCGACAUUGAAUUGAAAGACUCCCUCUCCCUCUAGCUUGAACCGAUCUGCAGUACAAGACAAGACAAGGCAAUUGGUACCUUGAGGACGGUGGGGGCGGAGAAGAGAAGAGAUGGAUCGAUGGUGUGCUUACCGUACUUCCGUGCUUCGUUGAUGCCCCCAGCCUGCCUGCACACGACCAUCGCGGACUCUCGCGGCGUCUCUGCCUCUCAUGUCAUGUGCCCAACAGG